AUGAAAAAGGAAGGAAAUGUUUUUUCUUCUUCUUAUUUUUUGUAUUUUAUUGUUGCGAUUUCAAAACGGCAUUCGAAUCUUGUUUUUACUUUGUUUUUGUAUGUUCUGUUUUUGUUUUGAUAAAUAAAUAUCACCUAAAGAUAAUAUUCGGGCAGCAAUAGUUAAGAACAACGAAAAAAAAUAUAAAAUUAGAGCAAAUAAUUUGGAUAUAACAAUGAAAAAGAAUUUGCAAGAAAGAAAAAGAAAAAUGGCAAAAUAUAGGAGAAUCUAUCAAAAAUACAGAAAAAUAAUAUAUAUAAAAAUAAUAGGCGUAAUAAAUAUCGCCAUACCAAUCCAAGAUCCAUCGUGGGAGUGACCAAUGCGUCAAUUAUUUUGGGAUAAGUGAUUUAGUAUGUUUUUUAUAUUAACAUAUUUUGAAACUUUAUUUCAUCAUUUAAAUUUUCAAAAUUGAAGUUUUAAAUCAAAAGCUAUAAUCUUCAUUCGAUUCAAAAUGUAAAUGUAUUGAACCAACAAUCAAAUGUGCUUUUAAAAUAAAUUAUGUUAGUUAGAGUAGAAAACAUGAAACUCUUAGUGUACGAAAGUACAAUUACAAAUGAGAAUAAAUUUAAGGAGAGAAGACAGUUCAACAUUUGAAGGAAACAAACCUUCUAAAAAUUAUCAAAUACAGUCCACAAAUGAGCUACAUGUCAAAUAAUUAAUGGAAUUGUUGUAUAAUCGAAUAUACAUUGUCUUGUGACUAAAAAUAUAAUUCAAAAAUUGAUUUCUACA